rnacentral:rRNA from 1 species
UACAGAGGUCUCAAGCGUUGUUCGGGAUUCAUUGGGCGUAAAGGGUGCGUAGGCGGCGCGGUAAGUCGGGUGUGAAAUCGUCGGGGCUUAACUCCGAAACUGCAUUCGAUACUGCCGUGCUUGAGGACUGGAGAGGAGACUGGAAUUUGACGGUGUAGCGGUGAAAUGCGUAGAUAUCGUAAGGAGACCAGUGGCGAAGG